UAGUUAACCUCACUUGUUUUCAAAUUAAGACUGGAAAAUGGGAUGAGAAUAUUCGAUUUUAUGUGGAAUUUAUGUGGUUUCUACGGAAUAUACUUUCAAGUGAUGUUUGGCAACUGGGUAUCCUGCAAAUUUGAGUUUGUUAUCAGUAAUGGGCUCAAGUGCUGUAUGUGUUAUUGAGUUUACACUGACCUUUAACAGUGAAUUUGGCCUUAAAGUUGGAAAAUUUCUGUAUCAUAGUUGGUGUUUUUCUUUUUUCAAAAAAAGUUCGAAAUUUUGUAUUUUGUGCAUGACAGAAUAUUUUGAUGAUCUUCUUGUAUGUUUCUGUAUCA
rnacentral:misc_RNA from 1 species